AUUGAACGCUGGCGGCAUGCCUUACACAUGCAAGUCGAACGGUAACAGGUCUUCGGAUGCUGACGAGUGGCGCACGGGUGAGUAAUACAUCGGAACGUGCCCGAUCGUGGGGGAUAACGGAGCGAAAGCUUUGCUAAUACCGCAUACGAUCUACGGAUGAAAGCAGGGGACCGCAAGGCCUUGCGCGGACGGAGCGGCCGAUGGCAGAUUAGGUAGUUGGUGGGAUAAAAGCUUACCAAGCCGACGAUCUGUAGCUGGUCUGAGAGGACGACCAGCCACACUGGGACUGAGACACGGCCCAGACUCCUACGGGAGGCAGCAGUGGGGAAUUUUGGACAAUGGGCGAAAGCCUGAUCCAGCCAUGCCGCGUGCAGGAUGAAGGCCUUCGGGUUGUAAACUGCUUUUGUACGGAACGAAAAGACUCUUUCCAAUAAAGAGGGUCCAUGACGGUACCGUAAGAAUAAGCACCGGCUAACUACGUG
rnacentral:rRNA from 1 species